AACGCACAUUGCGCCCACUGGUAUUCCGGUGGGCAUGCCUGUUCGAGCGUCAUUAUCCUCCCUCAAACCUCGGGUUUGGUGUUGGACCUCUGUUGUUCCCCGUGGACAACUGGUCUCAAAGACAAUGACGGCGUCCGUGGGACCCUCGGUGCAACGAGCUUCUAGGAGCACGCGUCGAGUUUCAAGGACCUUCCGGGCCGGUCUAACCUCUAAUUUUAUCACAAGGUUGACCUCGGAUCAGGUAGGAAUACCCGCUGAACUUAA
rnacentral:misc_RNA from 2 species